CUUCCCGUCGGUACCCAGGAGGGAGCACAGCCUGCAAUGGCCGCCUUAUCUCACCCUCGCCCAUGGCCCCGCAGACAUGAGACCUGAUUGUGUCACUUUGCUGCUGGGUCCCUGCUGCCUUCAGGAUGACACCCAAGCCCCUUAGCCUGGACGUGAGCCCCUCAUGACCAGACCCUGCCAGCCUCUCCUCCUUUGCAGUUCAUCAUGGCCCUCCUUAAGCUCAGCCAUCCUGACCUCCUGCACUUUCCUGAGUGUGCCCAGCAUUUCUUGCCACCUCUGGGCCUUUGCAGACGUGAUGCCUUGGCUCUAAUAGCCUUCUCUGCUCUGAUCUGCUGGUGAACUCCUAUGCAACCUUCAAAACCCAUCUCAUAGGUGCCCUCCUCCAGAGUCAUUCCUGCCUCUCUAAGGUAAGGUAGGGGCUGCCUUCAGCUCCUGCGGCACCCUCAUCCCAAUCCAGUCCUCUCAGUCAUAGUACUCAGCAUUCUUGCAAGCCUGCUACUCUCUUGAUGGGGGCUCUCCAGGGCGAAGUCCUCAGGAAUGCCCUCUGCAGGUCCCUGACCUCCACCUUGCGCUGUUGAGGACUCAGAAUCUCCAAGUUCAUGGCUGGGCGUGGUAGCUCAUGCCUGUAAUCCCAGCACUUCGGAAAGCAGAGACAGGAGGAUCACUUGAGCCCAGGAGUUCAAGACUAGCCUGGGCAACAAAGUAAGACCCCAUGUCUACAAAAAAAGUUUAAAAAAUUAGCC
rnacentral:lncRNA from 1 species